GACAUUUCCCUCUGUGGAUUCACCUCUUAGAUAGCCAGAGGCCUUGUGCGAGAGACCCUUGACCAGGUGACUGGGAGCAAAACUUCCUCACAGCACAUCUUGGAGUGGGACAGAGAAAGAGGGAAACCAUAUCCAAUCGGAAAUGUUGGAGAGGCUUCGGAUCCUCAUUCAAAAUAGGAAUGCCACCGUUGGGUCCCCAGAAGAGGGUAAGAGCUGUGGACCAGAAAGGGGCCCUGCGGUGUCUUCAAGUUCCUUACCCAAGUGUGGGCAGAGCACAAGCUUUUGCAGGACACAGACCAUCAUCCAGGAAUCCAAAGGUCAGAGCAAAACACCUUCAAAACUCUGGGGCUUCAGUUUCUGCAGAGCAAACAAGGAAGUUUCCAUCGGAGAUGGGGAGAAGGUACGGGCCCUCUGGGACUGCUGCAAGAACUGUAAAAUUAGCCCCCACAGCUCUAAACCUCCAGAGGGAAAGCCCCCACUCCCGCCGCCGCUGCCACCACCACCCCAGCUGGGUUCCAGACCUAACAGGCUCGAGGCCCAUAGUUGGAUGACUCAUCACUCCGCCACACUGAGCAACAUCACCGCGGAUAGCAGUGCGUUAUCUGACACUGCAGCUUCAACAGUAGACACCCUGGACUCUGCGACUACCUCAAUCCCAUCAAUACAUUCAGGGCAGGACAGCCUAUUGGAUGUGGAAAUCAUCAUGAACAGCAUGCAAUGUGCUCACAGAGGAGAAAAGAUGGCCUUCAACAACAGCGAGGAGAACAUUAGCUUUCUUCGUGCUAUUUCAGCAAGUUGCUUGGAGGCCCGGAAGAGUGGCAAAGACACCUUGGACCUUCCCUACACGAAGGCUGAGCUGGCAGAGGCACUCGUGAUGGUGAUGGAGACACUGCCAGGCCACUCUGUGCCAUCUGGAACCCUGUCAUACUCUAUGGUCACUGCGUAUAACCUUAGUAAAAUAAAGCCUCCACUUGAUUCUGAGCUGGAGUCCUGCAUCUUACGGUUGGCUCUUCAUGGCAUUUUCAGCAUGGAAAUAGAACAAGAAAGUUCUCAUAGUCAGGCUCUGUACAAAUCAUCCUCAGACACAAUGGAAACUAUGCUGAAGGGGCUGCUGUAUGAAGUUCCAACCACAAGCCAUCUCCUGUUUAUAUUAAAGCACAUCAACUUCUGGAUUCAUUCACCAGAUGUACAAGAGAGAGCCCGGGCCAUGAGAUGCAGCACUGUGUUGCUUCAAUAUGCUAUUCAGCUGCCUGAUUUCCAAAAGACAGGUGAACUCCCUGCCUUGGGAUAUCAGGUGGCUCAGUAUGGAAUCUGCAUCACAGAUCCAUUAGAAGAUGUGAACCAUCAGGCCCGGGAAGCCAUCAAGUGCCUUUAUCAGCUGCUGCUUCAUCACAUGGGGCUGAGUCCCAAAGAGGGAGGAGAGCUGUGGUGCCGGCAAUCAGAAGAGACGAAGCUGCAAGCGUAUAUGGAUACCUGCAGGGUGGGUGAGCUGUUCAGGAAGAUCUUCACAGAAGAUCAGAAGAGAACCUUUCUGCAGACAUCUUUGCUCUCCAUGUAUGAUCCAUUAAGGAGACGGAGUGAGGCUGGGGUCCUCCUAGGAUAUUCUCUCCUGGGGAAGGCAGACAGAUUAAUGGGGGAUAAGGCAGAAGACAUGGAAAGAAAUAUAUACGAGCAGCUCUUCAAGCUUCGGACACUCCGGCAGGUGCCAGAAGCACUGCAAAGCAUUAUUCCAAGUAAAGUCGAUAAUGAUGCUUGAUGGUUAAGAACAGCUCAAACACCUGCAACAAUGCUGCUUCAGGCAGGAAGAUCAAGAGAGCAGAAGGCUAGGCUUAGCAGUAUGUUUCCAUCUGGUCUCCGGUUCCUCUUAGGCAAUGCGUCUCUAGAAAGCCCCAAAGGUCCACCAAUAUCACUAAAGAAGCCAGAAAGCAGUUUCUGCCCACAGCUUCUUCUGUGCUGCAUGUCAGCUGAUGCAUCACAUAGACAUCAGUGGCUCCAAUUGCCAAUAGAAGGAAGAAACCAGCUGGGGACGCAGUAUUCCAUUGGGACAAUCAUUCAGAGGGCAGAACCAGAACAUAAAUGUCUUUUUAAAUACCUAUAAUUAAAUGAGAAUAGUGAUUUCCCCAUCUUCUGGUUAAACUGCACUUCUUUCUGUGGAUCGUUUUUCAUGGAUGCUAGCUUGCACUUUGAUGUUUUCUGUGGCCUGACCUGUAUCACUCUCUAAAGCAGCACUCCUGUAAACCAGUGUAAAUGAAGUAAUAUCACUCGCAAUGAGAAGAAGACUGUGUUUGGAUAUAAACACAAAAGAAUGGAUACAUGGAAACAGAAAGGUGGCAAAGAUGAAAUAAAUAAAAGGUAGCAAGUACA
rnacentral:lncRNA from 1 species